rnacentral:rRNA from 1 species
UGCCAGACUCCUACGGGAGGCAGCAGUGGGGAAUAUUGCACAAUGGGGGAAACCCUGAUGCAGCGACGCCGCGUGAGCGAUGAAGUAUUUCGGUAUGUAAAGCUCUAUCAGCAGGGAAGAAAAUGACGGUACCUGACUAAGAAGCCCCGGCUAACUACGUGCCAGCAGCCGCGGUAAUACGUAGGGGGCAAGCGUUAUCCGGAUUUACUGGGUGUAAAGGGAGCGUAGACGGCAAUGCAAGCCAGAUGUGAAAGCCCGGGGCUCAACCCCGGGACUGCAUUUGGAACUGUGUAGCUGGAGUGUCGGAGAGGCAGGCGGAAUUCCUAGUGUAGCGGUGAAAUGCGUAGAUAUUAGGAGGAACACCAGUGGCGAAGGCGGCCUGCUGGACGAUGACUGACGCUGAGGCUCGAAAGCGUGGGGAGCAAACAGGAUUAGAUACCCUCGUAUC